GAGUAGCUGGGACCACAGGUGCAUGCCACCAUGUUGGGCUAAUUGUUGUAUUUUUUGAAGAGACAAGGUUUCACCACAUUGCCCAGGCUAGCCUCAAAGUCCUGGGCUCAAGCCAUCCACCCACCUCAGCCUCUCAAAGUGCUGAAAGUGCUGGAAUUACAGGCAUGAGCCACCCCACCUGGCCAUCAUUACAUCUAAUCUACACUUGCGGAAUAGUAUCCUAAGAUACCUAUCUCUUGUCUUUAAAAAUCUCGAUUUCAUCCUUUACAUUGCUGCCAGAAUUGUAUUUUUAAAAGUUCUUUCUGUCACCUCUCUGAAGACCUGGUUCAUAUCUGCAGCUGCAACUCUAUCCCUGAACUCAUCUUUGAAACUACCCAGAGAUAGACUGUCAAGAGCUUCAGAGCUUUACAACAGGAUCUUCCAAGUGCCCUGAGAGGUCAUGAUGGAGCCAAUAGAAAUAAAUCAUACAAAACAAAGCCAGAACCUGGUGGGAGGGAUGCUUACAAAACAACAUAAACGAGAAGUUGUCUGAAAAAAAAUUGUAUGGAAGGAAGAAGAGAUGAGAUAAGGGAAAUGAACUCAUAAUAGCCCCAGUUAAAAUACUUACAGUAAAAUAUCAUUAGUACUACUUGAUGUUGGUGAAAGGCUCUAGACUCAAGUCAGAAGGCCCAAUUUGUUGCUGUGAUUUCUUGAACAAAUUAUGUAAUUGUGUUGAGAUUCAGUUUUCUUUUCUAUCAUUGGGUAUUAAUAACUUCUAUGUGAUGUCAGAGUUAUGAUGUGAAGUUAAAAUAACUAAUAAAUGGGUAAACCCUGAAAA
rnacentral:lncRNA from 1 species